CCAGUGUGUUUCGACACACUAUCAUUAACUGAAUCCAUAGGUUAAUGAGGCGAACCGGGGGAACUGAAACAUCUAAGUACCCCGAGGAAAAGAAAUCAACCGAGAUUCCCCCAGUAGCGGCGAGCGAACGGGGAGCAGCCCAGAGCCUGAAUCAGUAUGUGUGUUAGUGGAAGCGUCUGGAAAGGCGCGCGAUACAGGGUGACAGCCCCGUACACAAAAAUGCACAUGCUGUGAGCUCGAUGAGUAGGGCGGGACACGUGGUAUCCUGUCUGAAUAUGGGGGGACCAUCCUCCAAGGCUAAAUACUCCUGACUGACCGAUAGUGAACCAGUACCGUGAGGGAAAGGCGAAAAGAACCCCGGCGAGGGGAGUGAAAAAGAACCUGAAACCGUGUACGUACAAGCAGUGGGAGCACGCUUAGGCGUGUGACUGCGUACCUUUUGUAUAAUGGGUCAGCGACUUAUAUUCUGUAGCAAGGUUAACCGAAUAGGGGAGCCGAAGGGAAACCGAGUCUUAACUGGGCGUUAAGUUGCAGGGUAUAGACCCGAAACCCGGUGAUCUAGCCAUGGGCAGGUUGAAGGUUGGGUAACACUAACUGGAGGACCGAACCGACUAAUGUUGAAAAAUUAGCGGAUGACUUGUGGCUGGGGGUGAAAGGCCAAUCAAACCGGGAGAUAGCUGGUUCUCCCCGAAAGCUAUUUAGGUAGCGCCUCGUGAAUUCAUCUCCGGGGGUAGAGCACUGUUUCGGCAAGGGGGUCAUCCCGACUUACCAACCCGAUGCAAACUGCGAAUACCGGAGAAUGUUAUCACGGGAGACACACGGCGGGUGCUAACGUCCGUCGUGAAGAGGGAAACAACCCAGACCGCCAGCUAAGGUCCCAAAGUCAUGGUUAAGUGGGAAACGAUGUGGGAAGGCCCAGACAGCCAGGAUGUUGGCUUAGAAGCAGCCAUCAUUUAAAGAAAGCGUAAUAGCUCACUGGUCGAGUCGGCCUGCGCGGAAGAUGUAACGGGGCUAAACCAUGCACCGAAGCUGCGGCAGCGACGCUGAUGCGUUGUUGGGUAGGGGAGCGUUCUGUAAGCCUGCGAAGGUGUGCUGUGAGGCAUGCUGGAGGUAUCAGAAGUGCGAAUGCUGACAUAAGUAACGAUAAAGCGGGUGAAAAGCCCGCUCGCCGGAAGACCAAGGGUUCCUGUCCAACGUUAAUCGGGGCAGGGUGAGUCGACCCCUAAGGCGAGGCCGAAAGGCGUAGUCGAUGGGAAACAGGUUAAUAUUCCUGUACUUGGUGUUACUGCGAAGGGGGGACGGAGAAGGCUAUGUUGGCCGGGCGACGGUUGUCCCGGUUUAAGCGUGUAGGCUGGUUUUCCAGGCAAAUCCGGAAAAUCAAGGCUGAGGCGUGAUGACGAGGCACUACGGUGCUGAAGCAACAAAUGCCCUGCUUCCAGGAAAAGCCUCUAAGCAUCAGGUAACAUCAAAUCGUACCCCAAACCGACACAGGUGGUCAGGUAGAGAAUACCAAGGCGCUUGAGAGAACUCGGGUGAAGGAACUAGGCAAAAUGGUGCCGUAACUUCGGGAGAA
rnacentral:rRNA from 1 species